CAAAAGGUUACCUUCUCGUUCAUACAAAUGGUGGGCUUAACCAGAUGCGAGCUGGGAUUUGUGAUAUGGUAGUUGUUGCCCGAAUAAUAAAUGCCACUCUUGUUGUUCCUGAAUUGGACAAAAGGUCAUUUUGGCAAGACACCAGCAACUUUUCGGAUGUUUUUGAUGAAGAUCAUUUUAUCAAUGCUCUAGCCAGUGAUGUAAAAGUCAUAAAAAGGCUGCCUAAGGAAAUGUCUAGUGUUUCUAAAAUAGUUAAGCAUUUUAGAAGCUGGUCUGGUAUGGACUACUACGAAGGGGAGAUAGCAAGCAUGUGGGAAGAUUAUCAGGUUAUUCGAGCUGCUAAGUCUGACUCUCGCCUGGCAAACAACAAUCUCCCUCCAGAUAUUCAGAAGCUGCGUUGCCGUGCUUGUUAUCAAGCCCUCCGUUUUGCACCUCGAAUUGAAGAGAUGGG
rnacentral:misc_RNA from 1 species